AGUGAACGCUGGCGGCAGGCCUAAUACAUGCAAGUCGAACGGCAGCACAGUGGAGCUUGCUCCAUGGGUGGCGAGUGGCGGACGGGUGAGGAAUACAUGGGAAUCUGCCCAGUCGUGGGGGAUAACGUAUGGAAACGUACGCUAAUACCGCAUGCGCCCUUCGGGGGAAAGUCGGGGAUCGCAAGGCCUGACGCGAUUGGAUGAGCCCCAUGUUCGAUUAGCUAGUUGGCGGGGUAACGGCCCACCAAGGCGACGAUCGAUAGCUGGUCUGAGAGGAUGAUCAGCCACACUGGAACUGAGACACGGUCCAGACUCCUACGGGAGGCAGCAGUAGGGAAUAUUGGACAAUGGGCGCGAAGCCUGAUCCAGCCAUGCCG
rnacentral:rRNA from 1 species